CUGAACCAGCCAAGUAGCGUGAAGGAUGACUGGCCCUAUGGCGUUGUAAACUUCUUUUAUACGGGAAUAAAGUGAGGCACGUGUGCCUUUUUGUAUGUACCGUAUGAAUAAGGAUCGGCUAACUCCGUGCCAGCAGCCGCGGUAAUACGGAGGAUCCGAGCGUUAUCCGGAUUUAUUGGGUUUAAAGGGAGCGUAGGCGGACGCUUAAGUCAGUUGUGAAAGUUUGCGG
rnacentral:rRNA from 1 species